rnacentral:rRNA from 1 species
GACAGAGGCCUCGAGCGUUAGGCGGAAUCACUGGGCUUAAAGCGUGUGUAGGCGGGCCCGUAAGUGUCUUGUGAAAUCCCACGGCUCAACCGUGGAACUGCUGGGCAUACUGACGGGUCUUGGGCCAACUAGGGGCAGCCGGAACAAGCGGUGGAUGCGGUGAAAUGCGUAGAUAUCGCUUGGAACGCCGAAGGUGAAAACAGGCUACUGGGGGUUGCGCCGGACGCUGGAG